AGACGAAAGAACACUAAGCCUGAGCCACAGGGAUGUUUGCCAUUGUGAGAGGGGUGAAGAUGACUGGAUCCUGCUCGGGGUAGGAGGUGGAGACAAAUUCAUGCUGAGACAGCUGAACACCAGCCAGGGCAGGAGUGGACUGAGUCAGGAUAAUGUACUGAGGAGAUGAGACGGACUGACGAAUCUUUGAACAGAGGAUCAUGCUGCAAAUCAGAGCGGUGAUCUUUGGGGAACAAUGAUUGGGAGGAUGACAAAAGAAAGUCUGUCAAGUGCAAAGAAAAAGAGUCCAGCUAUUGACCGGCCCUGUUGUGGUGGUUGGAUCAGGCACUUUUUGUUGGCCAAGCAUAGUGAGCAGGAGUGAGAGUAGACCUGAGUGAGAGAGUUCAGAUGUUUGACCGUGCAUGUGGGAAGGCCUGCCAGUAAGGACCUACAGUAGUCCAUCUGUGAUAUUACGACAGCCUGGACCAGGAGUUGAGCUGCAUGUUCAGACAGGAAGGGUCUGAUCUUCCUGAUGCUGUACAGGACUAAUCGGCAUGACGGAGCAACAGAGGACACAUGAGCGU